GGGGAAUAUUGCACAAUGGAGGAAACUCUGAUGCAGCGACGCCGCGUGAACGAUGAAGGCCUUAGGGUCGUAAAGUUCUGUCCUAGGGGACGAUAGUGACGGUACCCUAGGAGGAAGCCCCGGCUAACUACGUGCCAGCAGCCGCGGUAAUACGUAGGGGGCAAGCGUUGUCCGGAUUUAUUGGGCGUAAAGGGUACGCAGGCGGUCUUUUAAGUCAGAUGUGAAAUCUUACGGCUCAACCGUAAUAAGCAUUUGAAACUGGAAGACUUGAAUCAAGGAGAGGAAAGUGGAAUUCCUAGUGUAGCGGUGAAAUGCGUAGAUAUUAGGAGGAACACCGGUGGCGAAGGCGACUUUCUGGACUUGUAUUGACGCUGAGGUACGAAAGCGUGGGUAUCAAAC
rnacentral:rRNA from 1 species